rnacentral:lncRNA from 1 species
CUGCAGAGGUGCCUUUUGUCUGGCAAGGGGAGCACAGGUGGGGGAUGGGGCUGGCCCCAGCCAGGACAUUGUCUGUGUCACUCAGCAGCAGACUGACUGGCGCCUGCUGCCUGGCCAGCAAUGCUGACCCCUCUGCCUGCCCUAGCCAAUAUUUGAGGUCAGGAGGCAAGUACAGCAUCUGUGGGCAGACGACAGGGCCAAUGGGGUUCUCCUCCAGGCCUUCUGCUGCCACUCUGCUUCCUGAAGCCAGGAGGCCCAGUUCAGGUGCUCCGCCAGGGCUCCCGUGGUCCUGCCUGCAGGGGCGAGGUAGCAGGACCCCCUUGUUUAGCCUCUGCUGCAUCCUUAGCUGCAGCAGGGAGCCUGCCAGGCAGGUGUGCGAUACAAACUCAUCUGGAAGCAUUAAAACAAUGGAAGCAGGUGAGAGCAGAGAGAUCCCGAGCGCAGGUGAGGUGGGGUCCCUGAGGCGGGCUCAAAAGCUGCUUCCCAAGGCAGGGGGGCCCCUAUGUGCCCUCUGAGAGCACAGCCUGCAGACAGAGUCCAGACGUCUCAGGCAGGCCUUUGAGGCCUUCGUGUCAAAGCCCAGUUCUACCACAUCCUAGGGUUAUACUUUCGGCCUGGUGGGAGUCGCUGGUCCCCAGUUGACAGUGUCAUUGGGAAAGUCCAGUGGUAGACCCCGGCACAGCAGGCGCUCAGCAGUGCAGCAGUAUCAUUGCUUAGCCCCACCUCCCUUUCCAGACUCUGCACCCCUCCUCAGGCUCAGAGCAAGGGCCUGCCCCUGCCCCUCCACCGCCCCCUCCUCACUUACCCCUGCGACUCUGCCCAAGCAAGACCUCCCCCUGGAAUUCAUUCAUUUAUCAACUCAUUAUGCAGCCAGCCAGCCAUCGUUUCUUUUUUAUCCACUUUUUCUGAGGGCCUGCUGUGCGCCAGCUGCUGGAGACAUGAAGACAUCGAAGACCCCAGGCCUUGACCUCCAAGAGCCCCCAGUUUGGUGGAAGAAACAAACAAGGAGACUGCAAAACACACCCUGUGAUGGGGAGGGUUGAGGUGGCCAGUGGGAGAGGCGAGCUGGCAGGGCUCAGUGGUGAGGUGAAGGUGUGGGAGCAGGGACACAGCAUGAAGGAGUAGAUGGCCAGGUUGAGCUUUGCAGGCUCCAGGGGGAGGAUAAAGAGCUGACACCUGGAACGUGCUUGGAACAGCAGGUGCUCGGUCAGUGCAGCCACGACCAUCCCGUCCUGCAUCCCCACCAUGAACUUGGACCUUCUGGAAGGACCUUGCUUAUCCCAGCAUCCACACAUCCUUGACCAGACCUGGUCAACAUUUGCUUACCUCUGCCAGCCUCCUCUCACCCAUUCCUGCAUGUGCCGCACCAAUCUGUGUGGAGCGCCCACUCCAGCCAGGCCCUGCUCUAUCAGCAAACUCAGCAGGCAGAACCCCUGCCCCAUGGCGCUGCUUCAGCGUGGUGAGACAGGAACCGCCUGGCUGCUGGGAUGAGAAGAGACUGGAGAGAGACCACGAUGGAAGCCAGGAGGCCAACGAGGAGUUGGGGUAGUCCUCCAGGGAGACAUGAUGUGGCUUCAGCCCCAGUGGUGAUGGCGGGGUAGAGCCAGCAGGGUUCUGAACUGAGUGGAUGUGAAAUGAGGGAAAGAGGGAUGCUGCGGUCGGCAGAAUCGUGCCUCCCGCAAAGAUGCCCCAUCCUAACCCGUCACCCUUGACAGUGAGACCUCCACCACAAAGGGGACUUUGCAGGCAUGAAGGUUAAGGACCCUGAGAGGAGGAGAUGGCCCUGGACUGUCUGGCGGGCCCAGCAUCAUCACAAGGGUGCUUAUAAGUGGAGGAGGAGGCAGGGGGAGCCGAGCAGAUGUGAGGAUAGAAGCAGAGGUCGGAGGGACGUGCUGUUGGCUUGAGAUGGAGGAGGACCUAUGAGCCAAGGAGCAUGGGCGGCCUCUGGAAGCCAGAAAGGGCAAGGCCUCUUCCCGGAGCCUCCAGCAGAACCCAGCCCCGCUGCCACCUCGACUGCAGAACGGUGACACCGUGUCCGAUUCCCGACCUCCAGAACCGUGAGAUAACACGUGUGCUGUUUUAAGCCACUGCAAUUGUGGUAUUUGUCACAGCAGCCAUAGGAAACUGUACGGGGGUUAAAGAGGACCUGCUGACCUCUGAGCUCACACUGAAGCCUCCUGGAAUGCUGUGGGUUGUGAGCUGGGAUGAGAACGCAGCAUGGAGAUGAAAGACGCAUCCACCCAGGAAGGCCCACUGGCAUCGCAAUCUCAGGGAAGAUUCCCAGGCUGAAAAAAGAGAAAGUGGCUGGGGUGGCACUGAAUGCCCCACGUCAAAGAAAUGGCACCCAAGCCGUCCGUCAGUCCCUCACCUGCCACACAGACAGCACCUUGGACCCAGCAAGAUGUCACUCACCACAUUGAUGCUGUCCACAGGCAUCGCCUUGCUUUUGCAGCUCUGUGUGAGAUUUGUCAGCUUGGUUUGGGUCUGGGGCUGUAUUAGAGCUGUCAGCCUAGGAGCCUACCCUAGUUUUGUGUCUGCACUAUUUCCAAAGCACUGGAAUAAAAGGCAUUUUAACCAA